AGAGUUUGAUCCUGGCUCAGGACGAACGCUGGCGGCGUGCUUAACACAUGCAAGUCGAACGGAAAGGCCCUUCGGGGUGCUCGAGUGGCGAACGGGUGAGUAACACGUGGGUGAUCUGCCCUGCACUUUGGGAUAAGCCUGGGAAACUGGGUCUAAUACCGAAUAGGACUGCGCUCUUCAUGGGGUGUGGUGGAAAGCUUUUGCGGUGUGGGAUGGGCCCGCGGCCUAUCAGCUUGUUGGUGGGGUAAUGGCCUACCAAGGCGACGACGGGUAGCCGGCCUGAGAGGGUGACCGGCCACACUGGGACUGAGAUACGGCCCAGACUCCUACGGGAGGCAGCAGUGGGGAAUAUUGCACAAUGGGCGCAAGCCUGAUGCAGCGACGCCGCGUGAGGGAUGACGGCCUUCGGGUUGUAAACCUCUUUCAGCACAGACGAAGCGCGAGUGACGGUAUGUGCAGAAGAAGGACCGGCCAACUACGUGCCAGCAGCCGCGGUAAUACGUAGGGUCCGAGCGUUGUCCGGAAUUACUGGGCGUAAAGAGCUCGUAGGUGGUUUGUCGCGUUGUUCGUGAAAACUCACAGCUUAACUGUGGGCGUGCGGGCGAUACGGGCAGACUGGAGUACUGCAGGGGAGACUGGAAUUCCUGGUGUAGCGGUGGAAUGCGCAGAUAUCAGGAGGAACACCGGUGGCGAAGGCGGGUCUCUGGGCAGUAACUGACGCUGAGGAGCGAAAGCGUGGGGAGCGAACAGGAUUAGAUACCCUGGUAGUCCAA
rnacentral:rRNA from 1 species